UAAGGAAUAUUGGUCAAUGGACGCAAGUCUGAACCAGCCAUGCCGCGUGAAGGAUGAAGGUCCUCUGGAUUGUAAACUUCUUUUAUCUGGGACGAAAACGGGAUUUUUAUCUCAAUUGACGGUACCAGAGGAAUAAGCACCGGCUAACUCCGUGCCAGCAGCCGCGGUAAUACGGAGGGUGCGAGCGUUAUCCGGAUUUACUGGGUUUAAAGGGUGCGUAGGUGGGCUUAUAAGUCAGUGGUGAAAUCUCCGAGCUUAACUUGGAAACUGCCGUUGAUACUAUAGGUCUUGAAUUAUCUGGAGGGAAGCGGAAUAUGUCAUGUAGCGGUGAAAUGCUUAGAUAUGACAUAGAACACCAAUUGCGAAGGCAGCUUACUACAUAUAAAUUGACGCUGAGGCACGAAAGCGUGGGGAUCAAACA
rnacentral:rRNA from 1 species